rnacentral:rRNA from 1 species
GCUGGCGGCAUGCCUAACACAUGCAAGUCGAACGGAAACGAUGGGAGCUUGCUCCCAGGCGUCGAGUGGCGGACGGGUGAGUAAUGCUUAGGAAUCUGCCCAGUAGUGGGGGACAACCAGGAGAAAUUCUGGCUAAUACCGCAUACGCACUACGGUGGAAAGUGGGGGACCUUCGGGCCUCACGCUAUUGGAUGAGCCUAAGUCGGAUUAGCUUGUUGGUAGGGUAAUGGCCUACCAAGGCGACGAUCCGUAGCUGGUCUGAGAGGACGAUCAGCCACACUGGGACUGAGACACGGCCCAGACUCCUACGGGAGGCAGCAGUGGGGAAUAUUGGACAAUGGGCGCAAGCCUGAUCCAGCAAUGCCGCGUGUGUGAAGAAGGCCUGC